UUGACGGAAGCGUUUCGGUAUCGGAAGGCAUU
rnacentral:scRNA from 1 species